AGAGUUUGAUCCUGGCUCAGGAUGAACGCUGGCGGCGUGCCUAAUACAUGCAAGUCGAGCGAACGGACGAGAAGCUUGCUUCUCUGAUGUUAGCGGCGGACGGGUGAGUAACACGUGGAUAACCUACCUAUAAGACUGGGAUAACUUCGGGAAACCGGAGCUAAUACCGGAUAAUAUUUUGAACCGCAUGGUUCAAAAGUGAAAGACGGUCUUGCUGUCACUUAUAGAUGGAUCCGCGCUGCAUUAGCUAGUUGGUAAGGUAACGGCUUACCAAGGCAACGAUGCAUAGCCGACCUGAGAGGGUGAUCGGCCACACUGGAACUGAGACACGGUCCAGACUCCUACGGGAGGCAGCAGUAGGGAAUCUUCCGCAAUGGGCGAAAGCCUGACGGAGCAACGCCGCGUGAGUGAUGAAGGUCUUCGGAUCGUAAAACUCUGUUAUUAGGGAAGAACAUAUGUGUAAGUAACUGUGCACAUCUUGACGGUACCUAAUCAGAAAGCCACGGCUAACUACGUGCCAGCAGCCGCGGUAAUACGUAGGUGGCAAGCGUUAUCCGGAAUUAUUGGGCGUAAAGCGCGCGUAGGCGGUUUUUUAAGUCUGAUGUGAAAGCCCACGGCUCAACCGUGGAGGGUCAUUGGAAACUGGAAAACUUGAGUGCAGAAGAGGAAAGUGGAAUUCCAUGUGUAGCGGUGAAAUGCGCAGAGAUAUGGAGGAACACCAGUGGCGAAGGCGACUUUCUGGUCUGUAACUGACGCUGAUGUGCGAAAGCGUGGGGAUCAAACAGGAUUAGAUACCCUGGUAGUCCACGCCGUAAACGAUGAGUGCUAAGUGUUAGGGGGUUUCCGCCCCUUAGUGCUGCAGCUAACGCAUUAAGCACUCCGCCUGGGGAGUACGACCGCAAGGUUGAAACUCAAAGGAAUUGACGGGGACCCGCACAAGCGGUGGAGCAUGUGGUUUAAUUCGAAGCAACGCGAAGAACCUUACCAAAUCUUGACAUCCUUUGACAACUCUAGAGAUAGAGCCUUCCCCUUCGGGGGACAAAGUGACAGGUGGUGCAUGGUUGUCGUCAGCUCGUGUCGUGAGAUGUUGGGUUAAGUCCCGCAACGAGCGCAACCCUUAAGCUUAGUUGCCAUCAUUAAGUUGGGCACUCUAAGUUGACUGCCGGUGACAAACCGGAGGAAGGUGGGGAUGACGUCAAAUCAUCAUGCCCCUUAUGAUUUGGGCUACACACGUGCUACAAUGGACAAUACAAAGGGCAGCGAAACCGCGAGGUCAAGCAAAUCCCAUAAAGUUGUUCUCAGUUCGGAUUGUAGUCUGCAACUCGACUACAUGAAGCUGGAAUCGCUAGUAAUCGUAGAUCAGCAUGCUACGGUGAAUACGUUCCCGGGUCUUGUACACACCGCCCGUCACACCAUGAGAGUUUGUAACACCCGAAGCCGGUGGAGUAACCUUUUAGGAGCUAGCCGUCGAAGGUGGGACAAAUGAUUGGGGUGAAGUCGUAACAAGGUAGCCGUAUCGGAAGGUGCGGCUGGAUCACCU
rnacentral:rRNA from 1 species